CAGGCACCUGGCCAGCUGGAGGGCUUGCCUCCUAUGGAGCAUCCCCAGGACUGGCAGCUUCCACCAUCUGGAGUCAGCUUCCUCUGCAGGGGAAUCCCGGACCUGCACCUCCCUCAAGAGACCUCCAAACUCAGGGGGCAGGGCCUUAGGUCUGCGCUGGUCUUCGUCCAGUGAGUUGGGAAGUGUCUACGGUGGCUUUUGGUGUCUGCGGUGGCUCUGGACUUUACAAAAGCUCAUGGAGACAGACGGAACAGUCUCUAGAGUCUUGUCACUGAACAUGGAUGUCACAGUUCUGGCUAGGCUGGUUGACCACCAGGAUUCUGAGAUCCACCUGUCUCCUCUCUCUGGUACUGGGGUGGCAGGCGCUCACAGCAUCGAUGGCUUUUACACAGCAACGAUAAAGCCGUUGAUUACCACGAGGACCAGCCACACAAUAAGAAGACCUUUGGUUAAACAACCACAAAGAAUUUAAAUCAUGGCGACCCCAGAGAGGGAAACCAAGUGGAGGACUGAAUGCAAUUGCCUGGUCACCCGCAGGACGCCAGCCCAGCUCUCAUAGUGGACACCUAUCAACACCACUCAACGCUGUUGCUGAGCCACAAGCCUUCCUUCCACCCAUCUCAGAUGAGGGAACCAAUGCUCAAAGAGAUACAGUCACUUGCAGGAUCACGCAGCCCGUUCCUUGGAGGUCCCCCACUAAGAGCGCUAUUAUUGGGAACUGGUUCCCAGCAGCCCUGGUUGUAACACAGCACUGCUGGGUGCUGGGACUAGUGAGCUACUACCAACACUCAGGAGACUUGGCGAGUGACCCUGCCUGCCUGUGGGUCAGGCCUCAGCUUUAGGGCUGGCAUGGCCAAUCACGCUCUACUGGGCUGGGUGCCUGUUGUGUGAUGUAUUUUCCUCUGGGCAUAACAUGAUUCCAUUCUGGAGUGGAAAAUACGUUGGCUGAGUAGCCAUGGCAACUCAAGUAGACCAAUACAGUGGUA